rnacentral:rRNA from 1 species
UACAGAGGGGGCAAGCGUUGUUCGGAAUUACUGGGCGUAAAGGGCGCGUAGGCGGCCCGCUAAGUCGAACGUGAAAUCCCCAGGCUCAACCUGGGAACUGCGUCCGAUACUGGCAGGCUUGAAUCCGGGAGAGGGAUGUGGAAUUCCCGGUGUAGCAGUGAAAUGCGUAGAGAUCGGGAGGAACAUCUGUGGCGAAGGCGACUACCUGGACCAGCACUGACACUGAGGCACGAAAGCGUGGGGAGCAAACAGG